CAGCUUGCUAUGAUGACAAUUUUUUCCCCGUCUUAUCGAUAAAUGACGACAAAUCGCAGCUAUUUGCCAGUUUGUCUGAUGCAAGCUU